UCGGGUGGGAGUAGAGUGGCGAACGGGCGAGUAAUACUUUCCUAACGUGCCCCGAAGUCGAGGAUAGCCCCGGGAAACUGGGGGUAAUACUCGAUGACCCCGUCGGAUCGCAUGGUCUGACGGGCAAAGCUCCGGCGCUUCGGGAUCGGGGAAAGCGCUAUCAGGUUGUUGGUGGGGUAACGGCCUACCAAGCCAGAGACGGCUAGCGGGUGUAAGAGCAUGACCCGCCGCAUCGGGACUGAGACACUGCCCGGACUCCUACGGGAGGCUGCAGUAACGGAUCUUCCGCAAUGCGCGAAAGCGUGACGGAGCAAUGCCGCGUGCGGGACGAAGGCCCUCGGGUUGUAAACCGCUGUCAGGGGUUAGGAACUCUGACCAGCCCCAGAGGAAGGACCGGCUAAGUUCGUGCCAGCAGCCGCGGUAAUACGAACGGUCCAAGCGUUGCGCGGAAUCACUGGGCUUAAAGCGUGCGUAGGCGGAGACGCAAGCGUCUUGUGAAAGCCCACGGCUCAACCGUGGAAUUGCAGGGCGAACUGCGCCUCUUGAGGCCGGGAGAGGGUGCCGGAACUGUAGGUGUAGCGGUGAAAUGCGUAGAUAUCUACAGGAACGCCAAUGGUGAAGACAGGCACCUGGCCCGGUUCUGACGCUGAGGCACGAAAGCGUGGGUAGCGAACAGGAUUAGAUACCCUGGUAGUCCACGCCGUAAACACUGUGCACUAGGUCUCGGAGGUUCUGACGCCAUCGGGGCCGAAGCGAAAGCGAUAAGUGCACCGCCUGGGGAGUACGGUCGCAAGGCUAAAACUCAAAGGAAUUGA
rnacentral:rRNA from 1 species